rnacentral:lncRNA from 1 species
CAAAACUUGCCUCGGUCUCUCACUCUGCCUUAUGCCCCUCAUGUGAAUUAUUUCCUUCGAGGAGGCAAGAAUCGAGUUGCUGCAGAUCCAUAGAAAUUCGCUGCUGCUAACAUACUUUGGUGCCUUGUGACUGGGAUACAUUCCCUAAUGACCAUUGGAAUCUGAAGCUCCCAUCAGCCACUACAUCUGUGAACCUGAAGAAGACCUGAAGUACCUGUUUAAAAGACAGCCAAAAGAUAGGAGAAAUCUCAGGAUUGUCCACCUUCUUUCAAUCCGCAGAGCCAAGCCAGCUGCUAAGAGCCAUAUAGGCUGCUGAGCGCCAUGCCGAGUGUUGAGACCUGCACCAGCUGCUGAGAUCUGCACAUAUGUGAGAUUUGUGUGCCAACAUAUGCAUGCCAGUUGCUGAGGACCAUGUGUCAGCUGCUAAGAUCCCCCCUACACCUCCCCUUUUCUUUGCUCUUAGCUACUUUCAGGCAUUCCAACUAUGCAGGUUUUCCCAACACUCUGAAUGAGGUAAGACAGAGUGUUCAAGUGUUCUGGGCACUUCCCAAGAUUUGGUCUCUGGGAAGUGCCCAGGAAAGCUGAGGAAGUUGUGAUCAUACUUAGCUCUCUCUUUUCCCUGGGGGAGAAACCACAGGCUGAGGGAACCUCUCUAGGCAUGGAGCUGUGAUGGCCUGCAGAAGGGAUAAGGCCGUCAAACUCCAAAUGGUGAUGCAACUGGAACCUCUGAUGAUGGCCCCUUCUGCCGGGAACCCUUAAAUAGGCCUCUGAUGGAGCCCUGACUGCCAUUUCCCCCAAACAGCACCACCUAUCAGCAGGAAUCAGUUAAGAUCAGUCCUCGUCUUAUCCUUCAUCUAAUGGCAGUUAGAUGUGCCUCUUUAGAGGAGGGAAUGAACUCUGUCCUUGUAAGAGUCCCUGUUUCCCCCUUUUCUUCCUUUUCACACAAUAAAACCCU